rnacentral:rRNA from 1 species
GAUGAACGCUGGCGGCGUGCCUAAUACAUGCAAGUCGAGCGAACAGACGAGGAGCUUGCUCCUCUGACGUUAGCGGCGGACGGGUGAGUAACACGUGGAUAACCUACCUAUAAGACUGGGAUAACUUCGGGACACCGGAGCUAAUACCGGAUAAUAUAUUGAACCGCAUGGUUCAAUAGUGAAAGACGGUUUUGCUGUCACUUAUAGCUGGAUCCGCGCCGCAUUAGCUAGUUGGUAAGGUAACGGCUUACCAAGGCAACGAUGCGUAGCCGACCUGAGAGGGUGAUCGGCCACACUGGAACUGAGACACGGUCCAGACUCCUACGGGAGGCAGCAGUAGGGAAUCUUCCGCAAUGGGCGAAAGCCUGACGGAGCAACGCCGCGUGAGUGAUGAAGGUCUUCGGAUCGUAAAACUCUGUUAUUAGGGAAGAACAAAUGUGUAAGUAACUAUGCACCUCUUGACGGUACCUAAUCAGAAAGCCACGGCUAACUACGUG